rnacentral:rRNA from 1 species
GACGAACGCUGGCGGCGUGCUUAACACAUGCAAGUCGAACGGUAAGGCUCCAGCUUGCUGGGGUACACGAGUGGCGAACGGGUGAGUAACACGUGGGUGACCUGCCCUGCACUUCGGGAUAAGCCUGGGAAACUGGGUCUAAUACCGGAUAGGACCGCACCGUGAGGGUGUGGUGGAAAGUUUUUUCGGUGUGGGAUGGGCCCGCGGCCUAUCAGCUUGUUGGUGGGGUAAUGGCCUACCAAGGCGGCGACGGGUAGCCGGCCUGAGAGGGUGGACGGCCACAUUGGGACUGAGACACGGCCCAGACUCCUACGGGAGGCAGCAGUGGGGAAUAUUGCACAAUGGGCGGAAGCCUGAUGCAGCGACGCCGCGUGGGGGAUGACGGCCUUCGGGUUGUAAACUCCUUUCACCAUCGACGAAGGGUUUCUGACGGUAGAUGGAGAAGAAGCACCGGCUAACUACGUGCCAGCAGCCGCGGUAGUACGUAGGGUGCGAGCGUUGUCCGGAAUUACUGGGCGUAAAGAGCUCGUAGGUGGUUUGUCGCGUCGUCUGUGAAAUUCCGGGGCUUAACUCCGGGCGUGCAGGCGAUACGGGCAUAACUUGAGUACUGUAGGGGAGACUGGAAUUCCUGGUGUAGCGGUGAAAUGCGCAGAUAUCAGGAGGAACACCGGUGGCGAAGGCGGGUCUCUGGGCAGUAACUGACGCUGAGGAGCGAAAGCAUGGGGAGCGAACAGGAUUAGAUACCCUGGUAGUCCAUGCCGUAAACGGUGGGCGCUAGGUGUGGGUUUCCUUCCACGGGAUCCGUGCCGUAGCUAACGCAUUAAGCGCCCCGCCUGGGGAGUACGGCCGCAAGGCUAAAACUCAAAGGAAUUGACGGGGGCCCGCACAAGCGGCGGAGCAUGUGGAUUAAUUCGAUGCAACGCGAAGAACCUUACCUGGGCUUGACAUAUACAGGAUCGCGCCAGAGAUGGUGUUUCCCUUGUGGCUUGUAUACAGGUGGUGCAUGGUUGUCGUCAGCUCGUGUCGUGAGAUGUUGGGUUAAGUCCCGCAACGAGCGCAACCCUUGUCUUAUGUUGCCAGCACGUUGUGGUGGGGACUCGUAAGAAACUGCCGGGGUUAACUCGGAGGAAGGUGGGGAUGACGUCAAAUCAUCAUGCCCCUUAUGCCCAGGGCUUCACACAUGCUACAAUGGUCGGUACAGUGGGUUGCCAGUCCGUGAGGGCGAGCUAAUCCCGCAAAGCCGGUCUCAGUUCGGAUCGGGGUCUGCAACUCGACCCCGUGAAGUCGGAGUCGCUAGUAAUCGCAGAUCAGCAACGCUGCGGUGAAUACGUUCCCGGGCCU